AGGCGGCACUAAGACUCUGAUGAACACCAUCAUGCAGCUGAGGAAGAUCUGUAAUCAUCCGUACAUGUUCCAGCAGAUCGAGGAGUCGUUUUCUGAGCAUCUGGGUUUCUCAGGAGGAAUCGUUCAGGGGCUUGAUUUAUUCCGCGCCUCGGGAAAGUUUG